UUGAACAAGCAUUCACAGAAUUAGCAUGUGGCUCAGUUUCAAUAAACAACAUCAAUGUGUAGAAUAAAAAAUUGGAAUUAUUUGUGGAAUGUCUGAAUAAUUGAUGCAACUUGGCUGAUGUCUGAAUAAUUGAUGCAACUUGGCUGAUAAUUAACAAUUAAAAAUUAAAAGAAGUAAUCCUUAUUAAGGAAUACUAAAUUAAAUGCAAGUGGAUUAUCUAUAAGAAAUAAAUAAGCAAACUAAUGUCAUCCACGUUAAUAUGUUUCUGGUACAAAGAAGAGGACACAGUCUGUCUUAAGGAUCAUCUGAGAAAUUUUGUUCAUUAACGAAUGAAACGUCUCUUUUCUAUCCCAACGCGGAGGGAACUCGCAGGACCUCUUGAAGGUUGCAGAUGCGG